rnacentral:tRNA from 1 species
AUUUAGGAUAGUUUAAUUUAGAAUAAUAAUUUGUGGUGUUAUAGGUGAAUUUAUAUUCUCUAAAUC